rnacentral:rRNA from 1 species
CCUACGGGGGGCAGCAGCCGCGGUAAUACGGAGGAUCCGAGCGUUAUCCGGAUUUAUUGGGUUUAAAGGGAGCGUAGAUGGGUUGUUAAGUCAGUUGUGAAAGUUUGCGGCUCAACCGUAAAAUUGCAAUUGAUACUGGCGUCCUUGAGUACAGUUGAGGUGGGCGGAAUUCGUGGUGUAGCGGUGAAAUGCUUAGAUAUCACGAAGAACUCCUAUUGCGAAGGCAGCUCACUAAACUGCAACUGACAUUGAGGCUCGAAAGUGUGGGUAUCAAACAGGAUUAGAAACCCUGGUAGUCCCCAGAU